rnacentral:rRNA from 1 species
GACGAACGCUGGCGGCGUGCUUAACACAUGCAAGUCGAACGGAAAGGCCCUGCUUUUGUGGGGUGCUCGAGUGGCGAACGGGUGAGUAACACGUGAGUAACCUGCCCUUGACUUUGGGAUAACUUCAGGAAACUGGGGCUAAUACCGGAUAGGAGCUCCUGCUGCAUGGUGGGGGUUGGAAAGUUUCGGCGGUUGGGGAUGGACUCGCGGCUUAUCAGCUUGUUGGUGGGGUAGUGGCUUACCAAGGCUUUGACGGGUAGCCGGCCUGAGAGGGUGACCGGCCACAUUGGGACUGGGAUUCGGCCCAGACUCCUACGGGAGGCAGCAGUGGAGAAUAUUGCACGAUGGGCGGAAGCCUAAUCCAGCAACGCCGCGUGCGAGAUGACGGCCUUCGGGUUGUAUACCGCUUUCGCCUGUGACGAAGCGUGAGUGACGGUAAUGGGUAAAGAAGCACCGGCUAGCUACGUG